UGAAAUGAUCAUUAUUGUUUUCCAGGCCGGUGUUCCUCAAGCUAACAGCUUAUAGGCCUCUAUUGGAGUACCUGGCAUCAACAAAACUCCCACGGUGAGAUGAAAUGAGUGGUGCGCCACAGUGAUCAACAUUUUGACUUUU